rnacentral:rRNA from 1 species
CAGCCGCCGCGGUAAAACGAGGGGGGCAAGCGUUGUUCGGAAUUAUUGGGCGUAAAGGGUGCGUAGGCGGUUUGGCAAGUUUGGUGUGAAAUCUUCGGGCUCAACUCGAAGUCUGCAUCGAAAACUGCCGGGCUUGAGUAUGGGAGAGGUGAGUGGAAUUUCCGGUGUAGCGGUGAAAUGCGUAGAUAUCGGAAGGAACACCUGUGGCGAAAGCGGCUCACUGGACCAUAACUGACGCUGAUGCACGAAAGCUAGGGGAGCAAACAGGAUUAGAUACCCCGGUAGUCCCUGUCUCUUAUAC